rnacentral:rRNA from 1 species
GGCCGACAGGCGUAGUCGAUGGACAACGGGUUGAUAUUCCCGUACCCGAGCAUGUGCGCCCAUGACGAGGCGUUUGAUACUAACCACCCAAAGCUUGGAGGGAAGUCUUCGGAUGGAACUUCACGUGGAGCGUGGGACCUGAUUUCGUAGUAGUCAAGCGAUGGGGUGACGCAGGAAGGUAGCUCCGCCAGGCGAUGGUUGUCCUGGUGUAAGCGUGU